rnacentral:tRNA from 1 species
CGAAGCAUAGCAUAUAAUAAUGCCUUUUACUUACACUAAAAAUAAAACAACUUGUUUACUUCGCCC